UGCAGAAUCCCGUGAACCAUCGAGUCUUUGAACGCAAGUUGCGCCCAAAGCCGUCGGGCCGAGGGCACGUCUGCCUGGGCGUCACACACCGUCGCCCCCCCCACCUGGGACCCGAGUGGGGGGCGCGGACGAUGACCUCCCGUCGUCUCUUCGCUUGGCGGUUGGUCUAAAUUCGAGUCCUUGGUCGCUCCGUCGUGGCAACAGGUCGUCGAUCGCUCGGUGCCGCCGUCACGUGCGUUGGACUUGCAUCGGGACUCGGAGAGAGACCCCAAUGCACCCGUCGGAGGUGCUCCCGGCGCGACCCCAGGUCAGGCGGGGCUACCCGCUGAGUUUAAGCAUAUCAAUAAGCGGAGGAAAAGAAACUUACGAGGAUUCCCCUAGUAACGGCGAGCGAACCGGGAAGAGCCCAGUUUGAGAAUCGGGCGCCCGAGGCGUUCGA
rnacentral:rRNA from 1 species